CCAGGGUUAAAAAAUAAUACCUAUCUCUUUCUCUCUCUUAGAACACAAUAAGCAGUGAUGGGGUACCAAAAAUGGAGAAUCAAAUCUACAUAGGGACUCUCCCUGGUCUCUGCAAAACCAACAAUAAAAUAUGAAGCAUGCCAUGAAAUAACACUGAGUGGCUCCAACACGCAACCCAAACGUGCAAUUGCUUACAUCUUUCCUCGCUAUUUGUAUUUGCUAUAAGCUAUGUCUCUUUCACUCUUUAAUUAUUUACCCUCAUAAUUCAUUUUCUCACCCCCCCCCCCCCAGUCUUUAAUUCCUCCAUUUUUUUUACCAUAUCUAUACUCAUUUUUUACUUUUUAACUGUAAAAAUAUGGAUGAUGAGAUGGAAAAGAAAGGAAAGAUGAUCUGGGUGAAGAGAAGCUGGUGUAGUCUGUUUGGCGGCAGGUACUCUCCUCAAAACUCACCCCCCAACACACAAGUAAACACAGAAGGUAUGGGUCAUUAUUCAAUCAUUAAUUAACUAGUUAUUGUUAACAUUGAAUUACAAUUACUUGGAAAUUGAACCUGCCAGUGGGUAAUUGAUAGGGGGUACAAAACUUGUUUCAUCCCAGAUCUCAGACACACAAUUUUGGGUUCUGGGUAGCUAUUAUUUCUUAGAUUUUUAUAUAUUACACCCUGAAUAUACUAUAGUUACAGAGCUCAAGUUUAAUAUAGUUGUUUGGUCAAAACUCAAAACUGUCAGUAACUCAACUUUAGGGUGAUGUAAAUCCCUGGUUAAGCCGGCAAAGGAUAAGAUUCACUGGACAAAAUGUCAAACUCAAGGUCAAAUCUAUAAGUGGAAUUGCACUCCACACAUCUGUCUGAUUAAUUAUUUUUCUUUUCAUGACAAUUAAUGUGGAAGCUCAGUUUUCUUUGCUGCACGUUCCAAUCACAUGUUACAGGAGCUCUCCACAUGGACUUUGUGUUUUUUGUGUAACUUCUUUACUCAAAUUAAUUGGACAAGACUAGUAUACAUAGCCAUACAACACACACACACACACACACACACAAACAUAUAUAUAUAUGUAUAUAUUGAAUAUCUAGGUUAUGGAGAGUGAUAUUUAUGGGAUGGGUAUGAAGUUUCCAUUUAAUUUAAUUACAAAACGAUUAAAGUUUUAAUAAAAUUGAAUCAAAAAUUAUUUUUAUAAACUAUAUGAUAGUUACUAAAAUUUAUAUUAUUUGAAGGGAAUUCAAAAAAAAACGAAGAUGGUAUAUGUAUAUAUAUAUAUAUAUAUGUAUGUAUGUAUAGAGUACAUUCAUUAAUUAGGAAGGCCAUGGCCUUUCAUUUUCUACACAGCAACAUUAUGAAUCAAAUAAUUAAUUUUGUCAUUCUUUAAAGAAUGCCCACUUCAAGACUCAAUCUAUUAAUUAACCAUUUUCUUUAUUUCUCUCUCCUGACACAAAUCUUGCAGAGCUUCUUCUCUGUGUGUGUGUGUGUAUAUAUAUAUAUAUACGCACCAAUACCCUGCUUUAGCUUCUCAUAUAUGUAUAUGUAUAUAUGCCCGAGAAAAUUACUCAACAGAGGAAUGCAUAUAUACAUGGGUUAUGUACGCGUCUGUGUGUGUGUAUAUAUAUGUGUGUGUAUGAUUGUAUAUAAUGUGGAUGGGAAGCUCUUGUUGGAGAAGCAGGGCACGUGCAAAGGCUAGAUAUUGACACCUGCAUUGCACGUGCUCCCCUUCUCCAACAUGGGUUCCUCACCCUGCAACUCUUCAUUCUCCUGUCAUACAUGCAACAACUCUGCACUUGCGGCAUAUAUAUAUAUAUAUAUACAUAUAUAUAUGUAUAUAUAAAACCGGUUGUUCGGGUAAGUUACUAGUUCCAUUUCUCAUAUUCUUACUACACUAGUACAUAAUAUAUCUAUAUAUUAUGUACACGAAUUUGCAGGUGAGGGCACAUGCAUGUUUUUUAGCAGUACCAUCUCCAUCUGUAAGACCUUGUUCUUUUCCUUCAAGCUAGUUGUACAAUCGCAACAAGCUGUAUACAUAUCGAAUAUAUAUAUAUAUAUAUGACUACAUAUAUAUAUAUACACACACACUAAAUGUUUUUUAAAAGAAUAUUAGGGAGAGAGGAUUAAGUGGGUAAUGUAUGGUGUUGCAAUGAAUUAUCCACUUACAACCUCCAUUCUACAUUUAUUCAGUUCUUGCUAGUAUCAUGUAUAUACAUACAUAUAUAUAUAUAGAUAUAUAAUUAGCAGCAUAAUGUAUAUGAUAUUCUGAUCAUAUUCAUUAGGAGAACACAUACGUACAUAUUAUUAGUGGAAAGAGCCCGUUGCUUUACCAAUCUCUGCUGUACGGCCUCGUGCAAAUAGUGACUUUUAAGUGCUGCCUCUGCAGUUUCCAUGUAUAUCAUACUUACAUAAACAAAAUAUACGUAUACGAUUAUAUGUAAAUACUCUGAUCAUAUGGUAGAGUGCGAAAUUGGAUGGUCAUAGGGGUUGAUUGUCGAGACAGAUGGGAAUGAAGAAUUAGUUGAAGGCUAGUUAAAAAAUAUCCAGUAGGUGGCGUAAUAUAUAUAUAUAUAUAUAUGUGUGUGUGUGUGUGUGUGUAUACAUAUAUAUACAUAUAUAUGGUGUAUAUGUCAAGUUAAUUUGGUAUUUUUCUUCUUUCUUUCGCGACAAACCUGGGCGGCUCUGCUAUCUGCAAGAUUUGUCUUCUUGACUCUUGACAGAGGGAAAGAGAAAAAAAAAUGAGUCAGCAGCCAUUUGGGUGUUGACCGAAGCAAAUUCGAAUAUUUAGUGAAAUUUAUUCAAAAACCUAAAACGACGACGUAAAGUUUGUUAUAAAAAUCGAUUUAUAUUCGAAACUACAAUAAUUUAUUUAAAUUUUAUUAAUUUAUUACGAAAUUUAUGACGUCAUAAAAUGUAACGUGAAAUAAUUAAUUGGAAUAAAUUGAAUUGAGGGACGACAGGAAUAAUCAGGUCAGAUGAGAAAGAGGGAAAAUUCGAUGUGAGUGUUUUGCACACGCAAAUCACCCAUCUCGAGGUCCCGGUACACACUGACAUUUAAUAUUUGAACUACCCAAAAUUAAUAACAUAUAUUUCUCUAUUUUACUUCUUAAUAUUUGACAUUUUAUAUUUUUUUUUAUUAUAUUCAUAAUAAAUAUUAGUAUUUAAUUAAUAUAUUAUUAAACCAUAUAAUAAAAAAUUAAUUAAGAUAAUAAUAAGAUAUAAUUUUAACAUAUUUAAUGUAACAUAAAAUUAUAUCCAAAGAAUUUUAUUGGGUAGUAAAUUAUUAUUUAUUCAAUUAUGGGUCCCCCAUGCUCUUUAAAUCAUGGGCCGGGUCUUCCUUAUGGGCCUGAUAUUAACAUUCGAAUGGCCAAUUUAAAUCGGAAGACUUGAAAAUUAGGGUUUAGUAUCUAUUUAGCCCUAAAUUAGUUGGGCCUAGAUUCAA
rnacentral:lncRNA from 1 species